UACAGAGGUCCCAAGCGUUGUUCGGAUUCACUGGGCGUAAAGGGUGCGUAGGUGGUGAGGUAAGUCGGAUGUGAAAGCUCGGAGCUCAACUCCGAAAUGGCAUUGGAAACUACCUUGCUCGAGGGUUGGAGGGGGGGGGACUGGAAUACUUGGUGUAGCAGUGAAAUGCGUAGAUAUCAAGUGGAACACCAGUGGCGAAGGCGAGUCCCUGGACAACUCCUGACACUGAGGCACGAAAGCUAGGGGAGCAAACAGG
rnacentral:rRNA from 1 species